rnacentral:rRNA from 1 species
AUUGAACGCUGUCGGCAGGCCUAACACAUGCAAGUCGAGCGGUAGCACAGAGAGCUUGCUCUCGGGUGACGAGCGGCGGACGGGUGAGUAAUGUCUGGGAAACUGCCUGAUGGAGGGGGAUAACUACUGGAAACGGUAGCUAAUACCGCAUAACGUCGCAAGACCAAAGUGGGGGACCUUCGGGCCUCAUGCCAUCAGAUGUGCCCAGAUGGGAUUAGCUAGUAGGUGGGGUAACGGCUCACCUAGGCGACGAUCCCUAGCUGGUCUGAGAGGAUGACCAGCCACACUGGAACUGAGACACGGUCCAGACUCCUACGGGAGGCAGCAGUGGGGAAUAUUGCACAAUGGGCGCAAGCCUGGUGCAGCCAUGCCGCGUGUGUGAAGAAGGCCUUCGGGUUGUAAAGCACUUUCAGCGGGGAGGAAGGCGGUGAGGUUAAUAACCUCAUCGAUUGACGUUACCCGCAGAAGAAGCACCGGCUAACUCCGUGCCAGCAGCCGCGGUAAUACGGAGGGUGCGAGCGUUAAUCGGAAUUACUGGGCGUAAAGCGCACGCAGGCGGUCUGUCAAGUCGGAUGUGAAAUCCCCGGGCUCAACCUGGGAACUGCAUUCGAAACUGGCAGGCUAGAGUCUUGUAGAGGGGGGUAGAAUUCCAGGUGUAGCGGUGAAAUGCGUAGAGAUCUGGAGGAAUACCGGUGGCGAAGGCGGCCCCCUGGACAAAGACUGACGCUCAGGUGCGAAAGCGUGGGGAGCAAACAGGAUUAGAUACCCUGGUAGUCCACGCCGUAAACGAUGUCGAUUUGGAGGUUGUGCCCUUGAGGCGUGGCUUCCGGAGCUAACGCGUUAAAUCGACCGCCUGGGGAGUACGGCCGCAAGGUUAAAACUCAAAUGAAUUGACGGGGGCCCGCACAAGCGGUGGAGCAUGUGGUUUAAUUCGAUGCAACGCGAAGAACCUUACCUGGUCUUGACAUCCACAGAACUUUCCAGAGAUGGAUUGGUGCCUUCGGGAACUGUGAGACAGGUGCUGCAUGGCUGUCGUCAGCUCGUGUUGUGAAAUGUUGGGUUAAGUCCCGCAACGAGCGCAACCCUUAUCCUUUGUUGCCAGCGGUUAGGCCGGGAACUCAAAGGAGACUGCCAGUGAUAAACUGGAGGAAGGUGGGGAUGACGUCAAGUCAUCAUGGCCCUUACGACCAGGGCUACACACGUGCUACAAUGGCAUAUACAAAGAGAAGCGACCUCGCGAGAGCAAGCGGACCUCAUAAAGUAUGUCGUAGUCCGGAUUGGAGUCUGCAACUCGACUCCAUGAAGUCGGAAUCGCUAGUAAUCGUAGAUCAGAAUGCUACGGUGAAUACGUUCCCGGGCCU